rnacentral:rRNA from 1 species
GUGGGGAAUAUUGGACAAUGGGCGAAAGCCUGAUCCAGCCAUGCCGCGUGUGUGAAGAAGGUCUUCGGAUUGUAAAGCACUUUAAGUUGGGAGGAAGGGCAGUAAGUUAAUACCUUGCUGUUUUGACGUUACCGACAGAAUAAGCACCGGCUAACUUCGUGCCAGCAGCCGCGGUAAUACGAAGGGUGCAAGCGUUAAUCGGAAUUACUGGGCGUAAAGCGCGCGUAGGUGGUUUUGUAAGUUGGAGGUGAAAUCCCCGGGCUCAACCUGGGAACUGCCUCCAAAACUGCAUGACUAGAGUACGGUAGAGGGUAGUGGAAUUUCCUGUGUAGCGGUGAAAUGCGUAGAUAUAGGAAGGAACACCAGUGGCGAAGGCGACUACCUGGACUGAUACUGACACUGAGGUGCGAAAGCGUGGAGAGCAAACAGGAUUAGAAACCCCUGUAGUCC